rnacentral:lncRNA from 1 species
UGAGUCUGGGGACAUCUUUGCUUGUCCCACCUCUCUAUUUCUGGGAAGGGCGGACCGGGAGGGAUCACUUCCUGCUUGUGGUAACGGUACCAGGAACCACAAGCUGUUUUGUAUCUCUGCUUGUUAACACUGGGAACAGCAGUAAACUACCCAGAUUGAUCACUCACUGGCUGCAGUGUUUUUGGCAGCCGUGCUUUCUGCCUGCCAGGACGAAGAAGGCGGGAGGCGGGCCCUGGAGGAAUAACCCCCCUCUGAGAGGAAGAGUCUCUUUCUGCCUGGAGCCAAAGUGAACAUAGAUCCGCUCGUUGUUGGGGGCCCUGGGGACCCCCUUUCUACGACACCAAAGGUCCCCCGUGCCCAUGUGGGCUGUACGUGAUGCACCUGCCAUCGUCCGCACGUGAAGAAUUUACGGAUGGGAGGCUCCGGGCAAAACCUGGUCCGUGCCACACCUGCAGGCUUUAGGCAAGGAGUGGCUGCCGAUGGGAAGGAAGACAAUCAAUGGAUGCUCACGCUGUGCCAAGAUGCGGAUCCACUCACUGAGAUUAGCAGUUCAGGAGGACAGUACGUUCGAGAGGACGACGGGCAUUCGGCUCUGAGCAUGUUGAGUCUGAGGCAUCCUCACUCUUCCCCAUUCCCACGGCCAGAUCAGUACAAAAUCCUGUCCCUUCUGCAUCCUGAGUGUGUUGUAAACCCAUCCACCUCUCUUCGCCCCCACUGCUAGUCAAAAGUUCAACCCAGCAGCAUCCUUUAUCUAUGAAUUGGAAAAAAGAGCGUGAAAGACCCAACUCCUCGUGUGAGCCUCAGCCCUCCUGGGAAGACCACCUCCCCUCCCGUGGGCACAGCAGCAGCGACAACAGCGCACGACAGCCCAGGGAGCUCUGUGCGGCCCCUGAUACAUUGUCAAAGACAUGGCCUUGUUUUUCCUCCCAUUCCCGAGGGGUUUUUAAAGGUUGUAUCGAGAUGCAGUUUACAUACCAGGAAACGGACUCGCUCAAGGAUUUUCGGGACGUUUACCGCGUGGUGCCGCCAUCGCCAUGAUCCAGUCUGAGAUCUUUCCAUCCCCCCAUCACAUCUCUCCCCUGCCCGUGGGUACCCAGUCCUCUUUACCACCCGAGCCCCUGGCGGCCAUGGGUGAGCUUCCUGUCUCUGUGGGUUUCCCUGCCAUGGACAGUUCCCGUAAGUGGAAUCACACAGCAUGCAGGCUUUGGGGACCUGCUUCUUUUCCUUGGUGUGAGGCGUUCGAGGGGCGUCCACGUCGUAGUGUGACUCGGCACUUUAUUACUUUUGGGGGGG